rnacentral:misc_RNA from 1 species
UGCGUAAAUAUGGGAAAAACUACAAAAAAAUGCCAAAAAAAUAAAUCAAGCAAAAAAAAUAAAAUUAAAUCUGUGAAUCUAAGUGUUAACAACAGUUCCAAGGCUCCAAAAAUGGCUGUUGUCUUAGUUAAUACGUGUAAGAAUGUUUCAAAAAAAAAAUAAAUCUACGCGUAUAAAUUAUUCUCCUGAUGAUUUAGCUAAUGCUUUGAAAGCUGUCGAUACAGGUGUUUCACUGAGAAAAGCUGCUGCAGUGUACGGAGUGCCCAUAGCUACACUCUCUAGAAAAAAAGGGAACCCUGAAAUAUCCAAACAAAAAACUGGAUCAGCAACUGUUUUUUCUGAUACCGAAGAACAAAAAAUAGUUGACUGGAUUCUUUUUAGAGCUCAGCGUGGUUUACCAGUAACUAAAACAGAGCUCUUAGAUUCUAUUCAACAAUAUGUGAAAAUGUCAAAAAAAGAAACUCCGUUUAUUGAUAGUCGGCCGAGCCGACAUUGGUAUGAGGGCUUUCGAAAACGACACCCUCAAAUGUCAAUCAGGAAACCACAACAUCUGACUCAUAGUAGAGCAGCAGUGACCGGUGAUGACCUGAAAGAUUGGUUUGAUGAACAAGCUAAGUAUUUAACAGAAAAAAAAUUAAUGGAGAUUCCUUCUACGAGAAUUUUCAACUGUGACGAGACUUAUGUAAGUUUAUGCCCUCCAUCAGAAAAAGUAUUGUUAGCUAAAGGAUCCCGUUCUGCAUAUAAGGUGGUUGAUUCUGAUAAAGAAGGAUUUACUGUAUUGUUUAUGUAUAGUGCUAAUGGUGAUCGUACACCUCCCAUGAUCAUGUUUCCUUAUAAAGAAGAAGUACCAGAGAAAAUUGUCAAAAAUUGUCCUGAACGUUGGGGUGUUGGGCUCUCAGAUAAUGGGUGGAUGAUCUCUGAGUCAUUCUAUGAGUAUAUAACAAAUAUAUUUUACCCAUGGCUAGUGAAACAAGGAACUCAGUUUCCAAUUGUGUUAUAUUUGGAUAAUCAUUCAUCACAUAUGACUAUGCCCCUGGUUACAUUUUGUCGUGAAAAGGGUAUUGAGUUGAUUGGACUUGUUCCCAACUCAACCCAUAUAAUGCAACCACUUGAUAUUAGUUUUUUUCACCCAUUUAAAGAGACAUGGAAAAAAUCUGUACCAAGAUGGAAAAAUUCUAAAAAUUUUUCCCGAGUAAAAAAAGAAGAUUUUCCAUUAGUUUUAAAGUUUGCAUUGGAUGCUAUGGUACAAGAAAAAAAUGCUGUUAUCAGUGGAUUCAAAGCUGCAGGCUUGUAUCCUUUCGAUCCUUCUGCCGUUGACUAUGAUGUAUUUGAUUAAAGAAAGAAAUCUAAAACAACAGUAACUAAAGAAAAUGUACAAGAUGAAGUAACAGAAGAUAAGGAAAAACAUCUAUUAACCUUCAAAAACAAUUUAUUAAAGGAUAUUCUGGAAAAAUUUAAUACUGCUUGGUUAAAUCAGACAUGGCCCAGGGAUCUAGAAAUUAGAGGCUUGUAUAAAUACUGGCUUGAUAUUAGUGGAAAAUCUGGUUCUCAUGAAAAAAGUAAACCAACUGUCAAAGAAGUGACGUUGGUAAAUUUAAAUUUAAACAUAGUAAGACAAGAACAACCCGUAAAUAAUUUAAUUAAUGAUCAAGCCUCUACUUCGAAUGAUAAUAAUAACACUGAUAUGAAUCUUAACGAUCAUAGUCAUUCUUUUAAUGAAGAGUUUCUUCCUUUGAUCAAUAAUCCUAAAACAGACACAUCAGCAUCUUCUGAAGUAUUAUACGAAUUUAUAGUAGAUAAUAAACCUCUAGAAAUUGUCUCUCAAGCUCAGUCAGGUACUGAUCAAAGUAAGAAUUUAAAUUUAUCUGAUGUUUUGGAACGUAACAUUGGUGAUGAAUUAAUAUUUGAAUCAAAUGUUUUGGAUGCUGAUAAUCAAACAGAUUUUCUUGACAGUACAUCUGCUAUUACAACUGCUUCUACUGCUGCUUGUACUACGCCAACUAUUGACAAAUAUUCUAAGGUUCAAGGAUGUCAAACAUUUAGUCAAUCAGUUAUUGUUGAAACCGAUUCUGGGAAUCCUUUUGACGACGCAUUUAAGAUGCCAACUGAUUAUUUACCGAAGAAAAAAAGGAUUAAACUGGAGUCAUCCGGCAAACUCAAACUACCUUCUGCUGGUACAUCUGAUCAGUGGAUGUAAUAUCACUCGAAAAAAGAAAAUGAUCGGAAAAUAAAAGAAGAAAAGUUACAAAAAAGAAAAAUAAUU